UGGUCCCCCAGAAAGUGCCGAACUUGCUGUUGUUGACGGAGAGGAAAUAGAAAUCAAAUUUGGAUCUAAUUUAUGGUUGGAAGAUUACAAGGAAACACCUUUGAAAAUAAAAUUUUUCAAACAUUUGCCAUGUGAAAAAAUAUCAAUGCACCUUGAAGUGGUUAACAAAAGAGAUCAAGCAGACGACGACUCCUAUCACGG
rnacentral:lncRNA from 1 species